GACGAACGCUGGCGGCGUGCUUAACACAUGCAAGUCGAACGGUGAAGCGCCUUCCUUUUUGGUGGGUGUGGAUGAGUGGCGAACGGGUGAGUAACACGUGAGUAACCUGCCCCCUUCUUCUGGAUAACCGCAUGAAAGUGUGGCUAAUACGGGAUAUUCUGGGUCUGUCGCAUGAUGGGUCUGGGAAAGAUAUUGUUUCGGUGGGGGAUGGGCUCGCGGCCUAUCAGCUUGUUGGUGGGGUGAUGGCCUACCAAGGCGGUGACGGGUAGCCGGCCUGAGAGGGUGGACGGUCACACUGGGACUGAGGCACGGCCCAGACUCCUACGGGAGGCAGAAGUGGGGAAUAUUGCACAAUGGGCGCAAGCCUGAUGCAGCGACGCCGCGUGAGGGAUGGAGGCCUUCGGGUUGUGAACCUCUUUCGCCAGUGAAGCAGGCCUGCCUCGUUUGUGGGUGGGUUGACGGUAGCUGGAUAAGAAGCGCCGGCUAACUACGUG
rnacentral:rRNA from 1 species